GAUGAACGCUGGCGGCGUGCUUAACACAUGCAAGUCGAACGGUGAAGGCGGAGCUUGCUCUGCUGGAUCAGUGGCGAACGGGUGAGUAACACGUGAGCAAUCUGCCCCUGACUCUGGGAUAAGCGCUGGAAACGGCGUCUAAUACUGGAUACGAGCUGCGAAGGCAUCUUCAGCAGCUGGAAAGAAUUUCGGUCAGGGAUGAGCUCGCGGCCUAUCAGCUUGUUGGUGAGGUAAUGGCUCACCAAGGCGUCGACGGGUAGCCGGCCUGAGAGGGUGACCGGCCACAACGGGAAUGGGGAACGGCCCAGGCUCCUACCGGGGGGAAGAGGGGGGGAUAUUUCACCAUGGGCGGAAGCCUGGUGGAGGAAAGGCGGGUGGGGGAAGGCGGCCCUCGGGGUUGAAAACUCUUUUUGCAGGGAAGAAGCGAAAGUGACGGUACCUGCAGAAAAAGCGCCGGCUAACUACGUG
rnacentral:rRNA from 1 species